rnacentral:lncRNA from 1 species
AGAAAUCUCCUAGAUCCAGAGCCGCUGCUGUGAGGGGAAGUUGGGGCAGCUCCUGAGUUCAGACAGACAGAACAGAAAGGAAAGACUCGGGAGGGAGACAAAGACAGAGGGAGACCACCAGGGCCAGGGAGACAGAGAAGUCGAAAUAGAAGAGAGACGGGGGCACCAAGAGAGGGACAGAGGUGGAAAGAGGGGGAGCACGGCUGCGCCCCCUCAGGAGGCCUCCCUCAGGCAGGAAGCGGGGGACCCGCUAGCACCAGGCCCACUGCCUGCGGAUGAGCGCCAACAUGGCUGCAGCUGUGCCAGCCACUGCGGCUGCUUCCCGGAAGGAGUCUCCAGGCACAUGGGGCCUGGGAGAGGAGCCGGCAGGUAUGGCUUUCCUGGAGGCAGCAUCUGGGCCCUUGGGGGAGCGGAGUGUGGAGGACCUGAGAUUUGCAGAGACCACGAAAAAGAGCCCCAAGGUCUGUGGGCAAGAGUGAGGGGACAGGCCAGCAAACCCAGAAUCCUAGAAAGAGGGGGGUGGGAGGCAGUCAGCAGAGUCGGGAUGGGACAGCUGAACUGAUGGGAAAAGAGGGAGAAGCAGCCUUGGGGUGUGGCAGCCGAGCUCCCAGGGAUGUGGUCAGGAACGUUUCUGUGGGAUGCCAGAGCCUGAAGUCACCUGCAGAGAAGGGAUGGGAGCCGGGGCAGCGGAGGCAGAGAACGUGCUCUUGGAGCCAACUGGCCCCCUGAGGAGGCGGUGGGAGGGCAGAAGCUGGCUGGGGGGGUGGGGGGGGGGGUGUGUGUAGGUAAAGGAGGAGAGAGUGCUAGUGUGUUUAAAUGUGGGUGGGGACCGGAAAGGGAAGGAGGCGGGGAGGGCUCCCAGAGAAGGUGGGAGGGAGGGGUGUGACCCAGCCCUGCCCCUGCCCCUCAGGCGUGGGCCCCUCGCUCCAGUGUCGCGUGUGUGGUGACAGCAGCAGCGGGAAGCACUAUGGCAUCUACGCCUGCAACGGCUGCAGUGGCUUCUUCAAGAGGAGCGUGAGGCGGAGGCUCAUCUACCGGUGAGGGGGGUGGGGCGGGACCCCCACCGGGGUGAGCCCUGGGGGGGGGGAGGGGCCCCGGGGAGGGGUGGAGGAUGUCCAGGGAUGAAGGGACUGGGGGAAACGUGUCCCAAAGCCAAGUCCAGGGCCUGGGUGGGGCACUGACACCCUGGGGCUCGCCUCCUCCUGCAGGUGCCAGGUGGGGGCAGGGAUGUGCCCGGUGGACAAGGCCCACCGGAACCAGUGCCAGGCCUGCCGGCUGAAGAAGUGCUUGCAGGAGGGCAUGAACCAGGAUGGUGAGUCGGGGAGCCGGCCCGGAGAGCUAUAUGACAGCAGAGACGGGGGCACAAGACUGAUGGGGGGUCCUGACCCUUCCUGCCUCCCCAGCUGUGCAGAAUGAACGCCAGCCGCGAAGCACAGCCCAGGUCCGGCUGGCCAGCAUGGAGUCAGAUCCGGAGCGCCGGCUGGAGCCCCUGGGGGCCCCCCUGGCCCCGGCAGGGCCCAGUCCACGGGGCCCCACGCCUGUUUCUGCAGCCAGAGCCCUGGGGCCCGGGGCCCUCACACCUCCAGGUCACCACCACUUCAUGGCCAGCCUUAUAACGGCCGAAACGUGUGCUAAGCUGGAGCCAGAGGACGGUAAGUGGGGGGACGGCUGGGUGCUGGCUGCUGGGUGCUGCCGCAGCAGGCUUUAGCCUCACCCCUGUGGCCCUGAGCGCCCCCUGCCCCUGCCACAGAGCAGCCUCCUCCUCCAACAGCCGAUGAGAAUAUUGAUGUCACCAGCAAUGAUCCCGAGUUUCCCUCAUCCCCAUACUCCUCCUCAUCCCCGUGUGGCCUGGACAGCAUCCAUGAGACAUCAGCUCGCCUUCUCUUUAUGGCCGUCAAGUGGGCCAAGAACCUGCCCGUGUUCUCCAACCUGCCCUUCCGGGAUCAGGUACACGUGUCAGGGGAUGCACUUGGGUCAGCCGGGUUGGGGGCAUAUACACUGUCGUGCAAGCGAUGGUUGGGGGCGGGGGGCCUGAAACCUGGGGAUGGUGGUGACGGUGUGGGGGCACAUGUCUCUGGGUCCGUGUUGGUCAGGGAUACGCGUCUCAGGGACGUGACCAUUGGGGGCGCUCACAUCUCUGGGCAGAGAUGAUGGUGGGACGUGCAGCUAGGAGGUGACGCAGAGACCAGGGAUUUGAAGGCAAUGCCUAUGGCCCCCUGGGUCCUCUCUCCCCCUAGACACACCCUCAGGUCCUACAGUCCCUCUGUGUGACAGGGCAGUCUGCCCUCCCGUCAGCGGCGCGAGCGGGUGACUCUGGGCUCCCCAGGAGCACGAGUGCCUCUGACCUCAGAGCUCCAGUUUCCGCCUAACCUCUUCACCUGUAGGACUUCCCUGGGAGCGUCUCAAGGGCAAGUGGAGGCGUCACGAUAAACCCAGGAAGGGAGGCACACUGAGGGUCUGAGUCCUUGGCCAGUGGUUUGCAAGGGGUGGCUCAGAAGUCAGGCAGAGCCUGCUGAACGCACUCAACUUGGGAUGCCCGUGGGGUGUGCCCCCGAGGCGGCCCAACUUCCCUCGGCUCUCGGAACUUCCCAAAUGUUCCAGCUGAGCCUCUGGGUGGAGGCUAUAGUGUCUUGGAGCCUACGCAGCUGGGCCAGAUCAUACCAAAUCCUAGAACUCUGGGCCCCUGGCCAGUGUCGGGCAGAGGUCAGGAGAAGGUCUGGGCAUCCGGGACCAGCCCUUCCUUUCCUAGGGCCCCAGAGAAGGUGGCGGAGGUUGCAGGCUGAGCCGGACAGGUCGUUUCUCAGUCAUCACACUCGCUGCUUCUUGAGCACAGGUGAUCCUGCUGGAAGAGGCAUGGAGUGAACUCUUCCUCCUCGGAGCCAUACAGUGGUCCCUGCCUCUGGACAGCUGCCCGCUGCUAGCCGCACCUGAGGCCUCCGCUGCCGGCAGCUCCCAGGGCCGCUUGGCACUGGCCAGCGCGGAGAGCCGCGUGCUGCAAGAAACCAUCUCACGCUUCCGAGCGCUGGCGGUGGACCCCACGGAGUUCGCCUGCAUGAAGGCCCUGGUCCUCUUCAAACCAGGUAGCCCAGUCUUUGCCCAGGCCUUAAAGAAAGGCGGUUGGGGUCAAAGAACGACAAUGCCAGUGAUUUCCUUCUGCCUCUCGCUCUGCUUCCACGGCCCCACAUAGCCACAGGUGGGCAGAGGCUUCUUCCCUGGGGGGCAGGAGGAAAGAGGCACGGGCCCGGCUCAUCCCUCCUAAGGGUCCUGGUUGACUGUGGGGGCGGAGGGACCGGAGGGCAGGCUGGGAGAGGAGCUCACUGCCGAUGCUUGUUUCUCUCCAGAAACUCGAGGCCUGAAGGAUCCUGAGCACGUGGAGGCCUUGCAGGACCAGUCCCAAGUGAUGUUGAGCCAGCACAGCAAGGCGCACCACCCCAGCCAGCCUGUGAGGUGACCUGAGCGCGUGCCUCCCUGCCCACCUGUCCCUUCUCCUCUUCACCCUCCCCCCACCGCUUUGACAUCAUCUCUGGGCUGCACUGAUCAGAUGGCCCAAAGGUCUGAGUUCAUCCGGCCCGAAUCCAACAUCCACUGUGUGCCAGGCCCCAGGAGUAGGGACCAAAAUGAGCGUAAGACAAAGUUGCUGCCUUCCAAGGAUGCCAACC